rnacentral:misc_RNA from 1 species
UCCGGUUUGUUUCCGGCAGUUUCUCUAGAUUGUCAACUAGAGACAAGGGUUGCGCUCGUUGCGGGACUUAACCCAACAUCUCACGACACGAGCUGACGACAGCCAUGCAACAUCUGUACAGCCGUCCGAAGAGGGGUCGCUUUCACGACCUUGCGACUGUAUGUCAAGCCUUGGUAAGGUUCUUCGCGUUGCAUCGAAUUAAACCACACGCUCCGCUGCUUGUGCGGGUCCCCGUCAAUUCCUUUGAGUUUUAGUCUUGCGACCGUACUCCCCAGGCGGGCCACUUAAUGCGUUAGCUUCGGCACGGAAGGGGUCAACACCCCCCACACCUAGUGGCCAUCGUUUACUGCUAGGACUAC